rnacentral:misc_RNA from 1 species
UGCCCUCUUACUCCUUUAGAGGUAACUUGCAUUGCUAUUACAUCACUCUAUACCAUCAAGCUGUGAUGCCUAAUCUUCAAUUGAGUUUGUUCUUUUUCAUGAAUUAUUUUGUCAUUCAGGUGUAGCAUGUUCAUGCUUGAAAUUUUUGUAAAUUUCCAUUGCAUAUUCUAUAUGUUGUGAAAUAGUUUUGCAUUAUCAGUGAAUUUGCAAUUAGAGGUUCUCUUUGAACUAUUUUAGUUAAUUUCAGGUGCAAAUAUAAUUCUUUUUGUUAACUUGGUGAUGCCCUCAGAAUAUGCGUUUUCAGUGAAUGUGCAAUUAGAGGUUCGCUUUGAACUAUUUUAGUUGUAAAGUUCAGGUGCAAAUAUACUAGCUAAUUGUUUCUGUUUAGUAGUUGAGCACCUUCAAGCAUUGGUAUGGCUGAUGUUCUCAGAAGAAUGUAUAACCUGAAAUUUGUGGCUUGUUACUGCCUCUAUAACUUGGUGAUGUAGAAUGAUUAGGUGCAUAUGAAUAAAUUGUUUAUCUGAAAUGGGAAUAGUUUCAUCAUUGUAACAUGGUUCCUCCUUCCCUCUGAUGCUUGGAGGGGCUGAGAGUACAGGCAGGAUCUCUAGUGAGAUAGGCUUUAGUAUUUUCAUUUUCAGAUGUAUGGCUGUGACUAAAUUGCUCUCACACGCUGUAUGUACUGUGUUUUGAGGCAUAAUAAUUCACUCAAAGAGCCCUAAAAUUUUCAUUUACUGUUAUUCUACCAAUUUAAGGAGCAAAACACGUGCUCAUCUGUAAUAUGCAUUGUGGUCAUUGUUUCUAAUCAUGGAGAGACUUGCAUGUAUGUUUCUGCAA